CCUACGGGUGGCUGCAGUCGAGGAUCUUCGGCAAUGGGCGCAAGCCUGACCGAGCGACGCCGCGUGCGCGAUGAAGGCCUUCGGGUUGUAAAGCGCUGUCGAGGGGGAGGAAAGCCCGCAAGGGCCUGACCUAUCCCUGGAGGAAGCACGGGCUAAGUUCGUGCCAGCAGCCGCGGUAAGACGAACCGUGCGAACGUUGUUCGGAUUCACUGGGCUUAAAGGGCGCGUAGGCGGCUCCUCAAGUCAGGGGUGAAAUCGUCCGGCCCAACCGGACACGUGCCCCUGAUACUGGGGGGCUCGAGGGGGGUAGGGGCAUGCGGAACUUCCGGUGGAGCGGUGAAAUGCGUAGAUAUCGGAAGGAACGCCGGUGGCGAAAGCGGCGUGCUGGACCCCUCCUGACGCUGAGGCGCGAAAGCCAGGGGAGCGAACGGGAUUAGAUA
rnacentral:rRNA from 1 species